UUGUGAUCAAUGUUCGGCAUAAGACUUGUUUUUUUUUUUUUUAAUCAACUGCUUUUUUUAGUAGUGGCUGAUUGAAUUGACAUUUGGGUCUUUAUUGAUGGCAGUUUGGACAUGUGUUUUUUUAAUUGAUGUUCUUUAUCAGAUUUGUUUGUUUUUCUUUUAUCAAUGUUUUAAAUUGGACUUGUGCGUUUUUGUGAUCAAUGUUCUGCAUUAGACUUGUGUGCUUUUUUUUGUGAUGGCUUUUUAUGAGCUCUGUUUGAAAUUAGACUUGUGUGUUUUUUGUGAUCAUUGUUCAGUAUCGGAUUUUUUUUUUUUAAAGAAUCAUGUGCUUUUUUUUAGUAGCGAAAGAAUUGACAUUUUCUUCUUUGGAGAUGGCUGUUUAGAAUCAAACAUGUGUAUAUUACUUAAGCUCUUCAUUGGAUUUGUGUGUUUUUAUGAUCAAUGUCUGAUAUUGUGUUUUUCAUAGUGGUUGUUUAAAUUAGUUGCUUUCUUUUUUUGAUGGCUGUUUGGAAUCAGACUUUUGCAUUUUUUUGUUUGUUUGUUUGUUGUUAUUUAGAAUUGACUUUAUUAUUUUUUGGCAGUUAAUAUUUGGAAUCUACUUGAUAACUUUUCUUUAUGACUGCUUGGAAUCGACUUUUGUGUUAUUUGUAGUGGCUGUCUGGAAUUAUGUUGUAUUAUUUUGUUAUGGCCUUUCAGAAUCAAACUUAUAUUUUAUUUUUUUUGGUUAUAUAGAUUUGAUUUUUUUUUUUGCUUUAGCUAUUAUAAUCCAAAUUUGCUUUUUUUUGUGAUGACUUUUCAUAUUGACACUGGUUGAAUAAAAAUUUAAUUAUUUUUUAUUUCACAUGAUGCAAGUUUACCUUUUGUUUUGCAGUAAUUAGAUUCAUUGUGAAGAUGUGUGCACUGGGCUGGAACAUUUCCAGAGAAAGCUGGACUAGCCAUGCAUCAGCAUACUAGCCAAGAUUGAUACCUCUCCACAAAUCAACAAAGACAUCAAUGAAGCUUUGUUAAAGCUAGUGACAAUUUACAUGUUUUCUUAUGUGGCUUAAUUAUAAUAAUGUCAAGAAAGCUAAUUAAAUAAGAACUAUACAUUU